rnacentral:rRNA from 1 species
GGGUCAGUAGGUUGGUCGUGCCACCGGUACGUACUGGUCUCACUUACUCCUCCUUCCUGAAGAACCGUAAUGCCAUUAAUUUGGUGUUGCGGGGAAACAGGACUGUUACUUUGAAAAAAUUAGAGUGUUUAAAGCAAGCUAACGCUUGAAUACAUUAGCAUGGAAUAAUGAAAUAGGACGAUCGAUCCUAUUUUGUUGGUUUCUAGGAUUGACGUA